GUACAGCUGAAGAGUCCCAAACUAGGACGAAACAGUUGUCCAGUAC
rnacentral:hammerhead_ribozyme from 1 species